rnacentral:rRNA from 1 species
UUAAAUUGAAGAGUUUGAUCAUGGCUCAGAUUGAACGCUGGCGGUAGGCCUAACACAUGCAAGUCGAACGGU